rnacentral:lncRNA from 1 species
UGUUUGGGUUUUUCUCUUGCAUGCUAAAUGUGCUUAUUGGACAUUUCUAUAUCCUUCUUAACCAAGAACAGAAUAAAGGCAGGUAGCACUGUGGCAACUAGUAUUCAAAAGCAGAACCAAAGGUGACCAGCAAUUCAGAAGGGAUAUAAACUGAUACUUCAUUUAAAGGCAAUGAACCUCAAACACAGUCUUUUAUUGAAAGAGUUCCUUCUUUUUCUUCCCUUUCUUCCUCAGCAGUCAUGUAACAGAAGCAAUUAACAUUUGGCAGUGUCCCCUGGAGUGGAACACCUCAUAAAUCUCCCGCUACGAAAGCUGAGACAACACGAGUCUCUUACUCCGUGCUGCUCCGUGGGAAAGAAAGUGGGCAUUGUUCAGCAUCCAGGCUCAGGUUGUCUAGCUCCAUGGAAAGGGGUCUUGCUGUGUGGAAGGAUCAGUGUCACCUGUUCGAAGGCAGAGGUAGCCCAGCAGAUGUGGACCUGCGAUUGAAAAGGAUCCUACAAGGAGCAGGUAAGAACCCCCUGAUAAUCCUUCAUGUAGGAACGAAUGAUACGGCUAGGUUCUCGUUAGAGAGGAUCAAGGGAGAUUAUGCCAGGCUGGGGAAGACGCUCAGGGAGA